GGCGGCAGGCCUAACACAUGCAAGUCGAGCGGAAACGAGUUAUCUGAACCUUCGGGGAACGAUAACGGCGUCGAGCGGCGGACGGGUGAGUAAUGCCUAGGAAAUUGCCUUGAUGUGGGGGAUAACCAUUGGAAACGAUGGCUAAUACCGCAUGAUGCCUACGGGCCAAAGAGGGGGACCUUCGGGCCUCUCGCGUCAAGAUAUGCCUAGGUGGGAUUAGCUAGUUGGUGAGGUAAUGGCUCACCAAGGCGACGAUCCCUAGCUGGUCUGAGAGGAUGAUCAGCCACACUGGAACUGAGACACGGUCCAGACUCCUACGGGAGGCAGCAGUGGGGAAUAUUGCACAAUGGGCGCAAGCCUGAUGCAGCCAUGCCGCGUGUAUGAAGAAGGCCUUCGGGUUGUAAAGUACUUUCACCAGUGAGGAAGGGGGUGUC
rnacentral:rRNA from 1 species